GUGGGGAAUCUUCCGCAAUGGACGAAAGUCUGACGGAGCAACGCCGCGUGAGUGAAGAAGGUUUUCGGAUCGUAAAGCUCUUUCGUUAGGGACGAACGUGCUCUUUGUGAAUAAUGAGGAGUAAUGACGGUACCUAAAUAAGAAGCCACGGCUAACUACGUGCCAGCAGCCGCGGUAAUACGUAGGUGGCAAGCGUUGUCCGGAAUUAUUGGGCGUAAAGCGCGCGCAGGCGGGAUAUCAAGUCUGUCUUAAAAGUGGGAGGCUCAACCUCGUGAGGGGACAGAAACUGGUAUUCUUGAGUGUCGGAGAGGAAAGUGGAAUUCCAAGUGUAGCGGUGAAAUGCGUAGAGAUUUGGAAGAACACCAGUGGCGAAGGCGACUUUCUGGACGAUGUCUGACGCUGAGGCGCGAAAGCUAGGGGAGCGAACGGGAUUAGAUACCCGAGUAGUCC
rnacentral:rRNA from 1 species